rnacentral:rRNA from 1 species
AACGAACGCUGGCGGCAGGCUUAACACAUGCAAGUCGAGCGCACCGCAAGGUGAGCGGCAGACGGGUGAGUAACGCGUGGGAAUCUACACAACCCUACGGACUAACCCAGGGAAACUUGGACUAAUACCGUAUACGCCCUUUUGGGGGAUGAUUUCUCGGGGAUGGAUGAGCCCGCGUUAGAUUUGCUAGUGGGUGGGGUAAAGGCCUACCAAGGCGACGAUCCAUAGCUGGUCUGAGAGGAUGAUCAGCCACAUUGGGACUGAGACACGGCCCAAACUCCGACGGGAGGCAGCAGUGGGGAAUAUUGGACAAGGAGCGCAAGCCUGAUCCAGCCAUGCGGCGUGAGUGAUGAAGGCCUUAGGGUUGUACAGCUCUUUCAGUAGGGAAGAUAAUGACGGUACCUACAGAAGAAGCCCCGGCUAACUUCGUG